CUCCAAAGCGCACAGUAGGCUACAUACCGGGGUAUGUGACCUGGUUUUACUCCUACCAUCCACGUUACUAUUCUCAAGCUUGACCUAGGUGAGAACGCACCCUCUCACAGCCAUGACGCAACUGAAAUUCGGCAAAAAAACAUCUUGUAAGCUGGUCCUGAAUCCAAGGUCAAAGCCAGAGUGGUAGAGAAGCAUCAGGGUCCUCUCGAGAGCAAAAGAAAAUGCUGCAGCCCAGGGGCUAACAGAUAGAGAGGGACACCCCUGCUCUGAUGGAGCUUGGCAGAUCGUUCCACUAUUGGGGGACCACAGAUGGAAAAAGUCUGGAUUGCCGUGGGAUUGGAGGCAGCAGUGCCAGACGUCGUUCGUUGGAGGAGUG